UUCCUACNGGGNAGCAGCAGUAGGGAAUCUUCCGCAAUGGACGAAAGUCUGACGGAGCAACGCCGCGUGAGUGAUGAAGGCUUUCGGGUCGUAAAACUCUGUUGUUAGGGAAGAACAAGUACGAGAGUAACUGCUCGUACCUUGACGGUACCUAACCAGAAAGCCACGGCUAACUACGUGCCAGCAGCCGCGGUAAUACGUAGGUGGCAAGCGUUAUCCGGAAUUAUUGGGCGUAAAGCGCGCGCAGGCGGUUUCUUAAGUCUGAUGUGAAAGCCCACGGCUCAACCGUGGAGGGUCAUUGGAAACUGGGGAACUUGAGUGCAGAAGAGAAAAGCGGAAUUCCACGUGUAGCGGUGAAAUGCGUAGAGAUGUGGAGGAACACCAGUGGCGAAGGCGGCUUUUUGGUCUGUAACUGACGCUGAGGCGCGAAAGCGUGGGGAGCAAACAGGAUUAGAUACCCUGGUAGUCCACGCCGUAAACGAUGAGUGCUAAGUGUUAGAGGGUUUCCGCCCUUUAGUGCUGCAGCUAACGCAUUAAGCACUCCGCCUGGGGAGUACGGUCGCAAGNA
rnacentral:rRNA from 1 species